rnacentral:rRNA from 1 species
AUGCGGCGCUUGCUUGAACAUCCCAGAGCCACCGGCGUGCCAAAAUUCACGCAGGAGACCAGUCGAGGAGAGAUCCGCCAAGCUGGAGUACCUGAACGUCUUCUUCAAGUACUCCACUUUUUUUUUCUUGCGGAGAAAAAGGUGGAAUACUUGAAGAAGAUUUUCAGGUCGUCCAUUAGAAAUCUCACCAUAUUAACCCAAAACCGUGCUGCAUCCCGCAGAGGUGAGGCCAGCUAUCUUCAAUUCUGCACUGUAGGCUGUUAUCUAUCAUCAACGUUUCUUAUGUUUUGCUUUGCUGCCAGUUCAUUCAAGUUCAAGGCAGGCAUGCGCUUUUGGGCAGAUCAUAGUUUGUUAACGGUGAUGUGCUCUAGGUCUAGGUUUGUUGAUUUAUCUGCCCUGAUAAUUUUAAUCCUUAAUCCUGAUAGUUAUUCAGUAGGGAUGAUAGCUUGGCAAAACUAUGGAUAA